rnacentral:rRNA from 1 species
AGGACGAACGCUGGCGGCGUGCUUAACACAUGCAAGUCGAGCGGUAAGGCCUUUCGGGGUACACGAGCGGCGAACGGGUGAGUAACACGUGGGUGAUCUGCCCUGCACUUCGGGAUAAGCCUGGGAAACUGGGUCUAAUACCGGAUAUGACCUCCUAUCGCAUGGUGGGUGGUGGAAAGAUUUAUCGGGUGCAGGAUGGGCCCGCGGCCUAUCAGCUUGGUUGGUGGGGUAAUGGCCUACCGAAGGCGACGACGGGUACGCCGACCUGAGAGGGUCGACCGGCCACACGUGGGACUGAGACGACGGCCCAGACUCCGUACGGGAGGCAGCGAGG